rnacentral:rRNA from 1 species
AUGGCACAGGUUUAGGCGAAAGCAUCUUCUUAUGUAAUAACUGACGUUGAAGGACGAAGGCUUUGUGUCUCGAACAGGAUUAGAUACCCCAGUAGUCUAAGCAGACAAUGAUGAAUGUCAUAGAUUAGAUUUAAUUAAAUUUAUUCUAUAAAUGAAAGUGUAAGCAUUCCACCUCAAGAGUAAUUUGGCAACAUUGGAACUGAAAUCAUUAGACCGUUUCUGAAACCAGUAGUGAAGUAUGUUGUUUAAUUAGAAGAUACGCAAAAAACCUUACCACAAUUUGAAUUAGUAAUAUGUUUUCACAAGCGUUGCACGGCUGUCUACAGUUAAUGUCGUGAGAUUUUGGUUAGUUCCAUUAAAUUAACGCAAACCCUUACUUUAUUUUUAAU